GCCCCACCUCUCUGUCCAAGACUACCACUGCAUCCCUAGAAUAAAUCCUAGUUGGUAUAAUGUAGCAAAGAAAAAAGCAGUAGAAUAUAAAUCAUCAGAAUCAAUCUGAAUGUGAGGCAGAGGGGUGUGUCUGCAAAAUGGAAAAGUGGAGAAUUCUGGGAAGCUGCCCGCCUCAGAAGCAUGGAAAAUCUACAGAAAGGGUCAGAAUCAACUUCAGAACUCCGGGAAAAGUCACAGGAUCACAGCCCCUGACAAUUGCUUAAUCAGAGGCAACACUCACGAGGCAAAACCCAGGACAUGGACAGAUCUCUGCCACUUUGACCUCCUCCUCCGGGGCUCCAAGCCCUCCCCUGCGCAGGGGCCUCCUAGCGGCUCUCACGCCCUGGCCAGGAGGUGGGCGCAGGGUUCCCUGAGGACAGCGCAUGCCUGGUCCCCGGAGCGCCCAAUUCCUGUGUUUUUCCCCUGGGGGCUAACACAAAGGACUUACCUGUGGUCGUCUUCACUCCUCGGGGUCUCUAGUCAGGCAGGGGCUGCACAACGGCUUCUCCUCAGGUUCCCAAAGGCGCGGCGCGCGGCGCGGGCGCCGUGGGCGCGCGUCCAACGGUCUCCGCGUGGUGCCGCCGCCGCCGCCGCCGCCGCUGCCUCGCCUCCCCCUGGUGGCGGCAGGAGGAAGCGGACGCGACUGACCGGAGAGCGGCAGUGCAGGAAGCAGGCGGCUUCCACAGCCGUCCCAGGGCUCCGAAGAGCGGAGAUCGCCUCCUUCUCUGCUUUGGAUCGGCCACCGGCUCUGGACUGACCGGCGUCACCGUCUUCCUGUGCCGCCAGCUCCCGGAGCACCCGGAUCCCUGAGCUGUACUCAACUGGUUCCCAUUUCACAGCAAGGUGGUGAUGGCUGCCUCUAAGAUCCAGUCAAGGCCGACCAGACACGGAGCGUCUUGAUCGCUAGGGCUGCAAGAAGCAGGAGGAGCUGCCCGAGCUUCUGCAGGGAGCCUGAGGACCACAGGCUGCUGGGUGGACGCUUCAGGUUGCUGGAAAACAAGAAUUCACCCAGUCUUUUGGGAACUGCAGCCCACACACAACUGUGGUGGUCAGCUGUGCCCAUCUUAUGAGAUCAUCCUCAGAGGCACCUUUUUACAUUCCUGAUCAUGUAUCUGGAUUCCAUGCCAACUGUCUAAGAAGCAGCAGAAAGUGUGAGGACAUAUGACCUAUGCCUCAAUUGGAGAAAAUUGCACAACCCAAAAGAUGUUCAGACACUUUUUAAACAUUGCGAUCAUAAACAUUGCUGUUCUAACAUACCAGAGAGGGUGUGGCCUCUGAAGAGGUCAUAGAGCUGGAAAGAAAGCUUGGAAGGAAGAGACUCCAGGGCAGCCUUCCUCAUGGCCCUGGAAUCACAGAGUUCUUGAUGUCAGCAGGUGCAGGUGUGGUGGGACACCACUUGCACAUCCUACAUCCUAGAAGACAGAAAAUUGGCACUGAGUCUGGCCCAGAUCAUCCAUAGCUCACCAAUGUCAAAUCUUCCACCACUGUUGAGUCAAGGAGCAAAGAUGCAAAGGACAUGGAACAAGCACAAAAUUCCCAUUUCCGAUACCAUCUGGGAAAAUCUACAACCACCAUGGGAAAAAGGCAAGGAGAGAGUACUCAGGGAACAGCAGGGGUAUCCUGCCAGUCCCAAGCCUGUAGUAACACAGCAGAGAUCUUUGAUGAGUCAGGUCACCAGGCAAACCUGGGAGGGCUGGGGAUCUCCUUGCUAUCUCUCUACAGAGACUGUUUCUCUGCCUAUGUGGUUUGUGGUUCUUACUGGGCUUAUCUUACCCACACUCUUCAGCACACUCACACACAUCACACAGAUACACAGACAAUGCACACAAAACCCAGUGAGGUUUUGUGGCCGUAGAGUAAGUCUGUUUUGUCUCAUUGCACAGAAUCAUUUCUCUGUGAGUCAUCAUUGCCCAUUCAUAGGGGACCAUCUAUGGGAGGACAUUUGGACCUUAUUCAGAUUCAUGGUAGGAGAAAGAAAGGUGUUGGUGGUUCCUAGAAAGCCCAGGGAAGGUGAAGAUGGUGCCCUGGGGACUGCUGACCAAGCCCAUAGCAGACACAGUUGCUCUGACAACGAAUCUCCAAACAUACUUUUCAUUUAUGAAUGAUGCUGGGUCUUUUCAAAUGAAAGGAGUCACCAUGGCUGGGAGGACCUCUGAUGUUUUUACUUAAAGCAAGACUAGAACUGUCUCCCUGGAAAUGCCUGGUCCUGUCCUGCAUUGCCACAAUCUGGGCUUUAGAAGCUGGGCCUACACUGCUAUUUUGGGGACCUCAAGUAUUUUCCAUUAUAACAAGUGUACUGUGGUCCCCCAUGGUACUGAGGAAUAAUGGACUCCAUUCACAGGAAUGGUUUUAUUCCCUCCUUUGGUACCGCUUAUGUUCUGCAGAGAUAUGCCCCAAGUGCCUGGCUUGAAGGUAGAGCAAAAUAUGUGUCCAUACACAGGGAAAGUGCUGUGUUUUCAACUACAGUGGCUUUGUUGUGACCAAAAGAGCCCCAACUGCUAGGGUGGAAGGUGAAGGCAGUCAAGUCUUCCAACACAAGUUUCUUGGCCAACACAGUAGUUCUUCUAACUGUAGAAACUUUCUUUUUCCUUUCCAGCUGUGUUGUAGGUGCACUGAAAAUCAAUAGUACAGAGCUCUUCAUCAUGUGUAUGACUCUAUCCCUGCCCAAAUAACCACCUGAGUUCUGAGCAAGUGACUGUCACAUAGUGACCUUUGGAAUUGUGUCCAUACAUAGGGUCAAUGCUGGUAUUUUCAACUGCAGUAGCUGUGGUAUGGCUCACUCAGCCUCAAUGUUAGGUUAGAAUGUGGAGAAAGGUGUUCUAACAUGUUUCUUGAUCAAGGUCAUAGAUCCUCUACAUGUAGGUUUUUGCUAUCCAGGUGUGUUCAUAUGUACUGGUGGGAAGCUAAAACAUGAAGAUCUAUGUGUAUGAGUAUAGUACCAUCUUCUCUCUUAGCAUGGCAUUGUGUGGUGGUCACUUGAGCUGCCUGGAAUGAGAUGAACACUGAAUGUAAAUCCAAAAUUAGGGGCAGUACAGCAGCCAUGAUGUUGCUAGAUGAAUCCAAAGCUCCCCAACAAAAAUGAGGGCUAGGUAUUACGUUCCUAAAUUCAUUGCACUCAAAGUGGUACUCUGGAUGAACAUUCAAAUCCCAAAAUUCCCUUUAAAAUGAAUUCUGCUAAUUUCAUUGUCACUACCAGCUCUAGAUUGAAGUUGGAAAACAAAGAGAUACUUGUCUUCUCAGUGCUGGGAAUGCUGGGAACAAUCCCUAAGCCAGAAGCAAGGGGCCAUUCCGAUUGGGAAACCUGGUCCGACUUUGAUGUAACAAAUGCAGAUUGUGUACAUGUCAAACUCAUUCACAUGAUUGCAUUGUGCAGGCACUAAGUGGCUGAGAAGCAGGAGGAGUUAGGUGAAUUGCUUGUUUUGGGACCAUUGGCCUCCCAAUUAAGAAAUAACAGCCAUGGUGCAUGCUAUAUGAUGAUGAUUAAGGGUAGCUCCUGGGAUAAAGGAAUGGCUGAAAGUUUUAAUUGGUCCUUAAACUGACUGGUCAGGCAAACUAGCAUAGACUUGUGCUGAGGCAAUGUUGCCAUUGGGUGGUGUCCACAGCACCAUGGAAAAUGGGAUGUAGUUCUCUGUGGAGACAGAGGUAGAUGCCAGCCUUGGAAGGAAGAGUAGUGCCUCACCACAGCCUUGGAAGGAAGAGUAGCACCUCACCCUGGUGUUGCUCAUGACAAGUGAGGACAGUGACCUUGCAGAGACCCUUCCUGCUGGGAUGGAGCAGGCUGCAGCAGCUGUUAUGGGAAAACCUAUAAGUACAGGGGCCCUUGAAGAGUACCUCUGUGUUCCUGCCCUUCCAGGGUCUCCAGCACAGACUGAAGGGCAGUUUCUGGGCCAAAGGGAUGACUGAAAAAUUGGAAGGGCUGUGGGGAAGUCUUGGGGUAAGUGGACUGGUGGUGUCUUUGCAGGGUGCCUUGAUCGACUCUGCCUUGGAGAUAAGAUUCCCACUCCUACUGGAGCUGGGAAGGGAGCUGAGGAUGACAGCAUCAGGAGGUAGGGUACUGUCCUUGUAAGUGACCUCAGAGAUUAAGGGAGAUUGAAAGGUUUAAGUGUGUAGAUGUAUUGGCUGCAACAGAAGAAAUUACUGCUGUAGGAGGCAUGGACUCUCAUGGAUACUGGCAGAAGGGCCUGCAAGAGGGAUGAGAAAGAAAAGAGAAAGGUUUUAAUACACAUUGGAUUCUGAGGUUUCUUUCUGUAGGAGGGAGGCUGAAAGGAGAAGGGUGCAAGGCUUGGAUUGGGAGAGCUCAGAAAUAGUAGGUGCUGCAAAUCUGCAUGAACGCAGAAUACCCACCCUGAGACUAUACCUGAAGGCAGGAAGAGAACUGGCAAGGACAGGCAGAGAUAAAGACUUAGGGAUGUGUGUUUUGUUUCCAUACCAAUAUGUAUGUGGGGGAGGGGCUGGGUAGAGAGGAAGAGUUUUGUAGGCAAAGAUCAUUCUGGCAAGCCAGUGGUGGUAGCAGAAGCUGAUUCUUUCAGAGUGGAAGGGAUUCUGCAGUGUUGUUCUCAACUGGGGAGAAAGAAGGGGACAGUGGAGAGGCACUGCAGUACACUCUGGUGCCUUUUACAACCCCAUGGCCUCUGCUUGAUUUUCAAAGACCCUGGCACUCUUGGAAACCCGAUGCCAUCUCUCCCUCAAUAGCAAUGCAAGGCAGUUUAGGAGGUGGGGGAAACUCACCUGUGUGUAUCAGCAGGAAUCUGAUAGUAGUCAGUGGUGGCAGCAAGCCCAAUCACCUGCAGAGGCAGAUGAAGCUCCAAGUGGUGAUUUGCUGCAGAACUAUGUGCCUGAAGAACUUGGCUGUUUCUGCCUCAGUAUUUCUACUGCUGAUUCUUCGUGAGGCUGUGGAGAGCAGCCUAGGCUGGCUCAGUUUGGCAUGCUGUUUCUAUUUGCGCCUUUCUGAUAAGAUAGUCAGGACCUAAACAAUGCAAAUGCCUUGACCUGACACACCCCUGGAAUUCCCUCCCACAGGGAAUCAAGUUCUGUGAGAUCCCUGGGCCUCUACAUUGUGCAGUGGUUAGAAAUGGUGGCAGUUUCCCAACAGAGGACCAAGACUUCCUCAGAAUGAAGUUUAAUCCCCUUGAGUUCACUGGUCAUGGGUGCAUCUUCUCUGGAUAGAACAGUGCUCAGUUUCUCUUCCUCUUUUUUACCAUGCCCUUCCCAGAGCUGUUCUUUGGGUCUCCCCUGAGAAUUGAAGGGGCUGGGCCUAGGGUGUUGCCAGGUUUCCAGAUCCUCCUCCUUGGUUUCUUCCUGAAGCAUAGAAAAAAAUGCACACCUGUGUCUGACUUUUAGGAAGUAUUAAACUUUUGUCAGCCCAGUUCUUUUGACAGCACCCAGCCCGGGGACCUUCCUUGAGUAGCGGCUGCUGUAUCCUAUGAAAGUGGGGAGCCAGGGUCUGGAGCCCCAAUUCCUUUCUCCACGGUCUGUGAUUCCUGCAGGGAAAGGGUGGUGGUGCAGGCAGUGGGGAUCAGCCCAGUGGGGUGGGCCAGUGUUGCAUGGUUUCAGAGGGGCAGGAGUAAUAAGGCUGUUAGAAGUGGCAGCUGCCCUAGGAAAGUGAUUCUCUCCACAUGCAGCAGGUUACCUGCAGAUAGGGGCACAGCACCAUCAGUUCCCAGAUGGAUGUCUGCCCUCAGCUUUCUGCAAGCCUCAGAGCUGGGUUGGUUUGUUGACUCAUCCUAAGGCACUGGUGAGCAGCCUGAUGACUUAGGGAGCCUCUAUUGCUCUACAUGGGCCUGCCCAACAUGCAUGGUCCUACAGCUGGACUCCAAGGCAGUGCUCUGAGGAGAGCCAUGGGCCUCCUCCUUACAGAUGUUGAAUGAGUGUUGAGGAGGCCAGACUGCCCCUCCAGGAAGGGCAGUCUCUAGGGCCUCCAGCAGCCUGGGUGGGACUCUCUCUCACACAGAGGGGACCAGCUUUCUACUCUUCUCAUUUUCCAUCCCUCCACAGGGGUGCCCUUUGGCCCUCACCUCGGUCUCAGUAAAGCAGGAAAAAAGGGAGUUGGCUUGAUCUGGUCUCCUCAUAACUUUGGAGACAACAUUCCUUGGAGAGCCCCAGGCCCAUGCUGGUCAGUAUCAAAUGAACGACAAGGCCUAGGACUGUGCUACAAGGAAGGGAAGUAUCCCUCAGCCUCCUGGUAGCCUUGGUGUGUUGUCCUCACGGUGAGGAGGCCUGUGUUCACCUCCCUCUCCACUUCCUUCCUGGAGCUUUUCUUUGGCUCCAACCUUGGUCUCUGUCAGAGAUAUGGGCAAUGCCUAUAUCUGUCUCCUCAACAUUGAUGAAAUGAGCUGGUUAUGAUCAGUUACAUCCAUGUUCCUGGCUGUUAUCUGGGCCAAGCUCUGGAAUUUGCCAGCCAUUUUCUUUUCCUUGUACCUGUUUGAUUUCUUUAUAAGUAGCCCAAACUCCAAAAGGGAUAAUAUAGCCAAUUAAGGUGUAGGUUCUUAUAGUCACAGCCCUGGCUAGGAGAGAGAAGGAAGGGUGGGGUGAGCCUGGUCAAGUGGGGUAGCAUCAAAUACCAGGAGUUCAUGGUAAGAUGCCAUGACCAAGUUGAGUGUGCCUGAGAUAUGCAAAAUGUCUAUAAGUGGUCAUAAGGCAAGAGUAAAGUAUAGUGGAGAAGUUCUCGUCCUCUCCAACAGUGAUUCAUACACACUAUUCAGCUGAGUGCUUGGGAAGUUGCAUCAUAGCAGAUGAUGAAGGGCACAGUGCAAGGGGGGUGCUCCUGAGGCCAGCAGGUAUGUAUAGAGUAGAAGGUGCUAAAGGAUGUAGGACUGUAGGUGUUGAGUGCACAGGAUUGCUUCACAAGAAGGAUAGCAUCCCUCUCCCACCAGGUGGCCCCACAGUGAGGGAGGCUCUGUUCACCUCUCCUCCCCCACUUCUCCCUUCCUGGAGUCUUCCUUUUGCCCCCACCUUGCUUUCAGCAAGUGAAAGUGAUGGGAUGAAACCUGGAUUAGGCUCCUCAGCCUUGAAGACCCCAGCUUGCAAGGGUUCAGUUACCUCCAUGCACCUGGCUUUUGCUUGUACCAAACUUCAGAAUUUUCCAAAAGAUUUUUCCCCCUUUUGGCCAUCGUCAUUGAGACCCAGGAUACACUCUGAAGAUCCUGUAGUCAUAGCAAUGGUUGGGGGAGUGAAGGAGGAGUGGGAGGAUUCUAGUCAUAUUGGGCAGCAUUGCAGGGCAGCAGAGCAAUAUGGUAGGUGUCAUGACCAAGUUAAUGCAAGAACUGCCCAUGAUGAGCCAAAUGGGAGUGGUCACAAAGCAAGAGUGAUGGAUGGCAGAGAAGCUCUCACCCAGUCCUUUAGUGCAUGAGUGAUGCACUCACAUGGUCAUGCACUCAGUCUCAUCACAAGAGGUGACAAGGACACAGAGUGAAGAUAAUGUGUCUUAAACCCAGCAGGGUGGGGUUCUGUAGAAGAUGCUGAAUGGCAAAAGACUAAGCCUGGUCAUUGGCCCCAGCCUCACUUUCUGGUGCCUGGGAGAUUACUGCUGUGAUGUUGAGCCUUAGCUGGGACAUUUUGAGGCAUGUUGGGACAUGAGGGGUGAGAUCUGCCAUGGGCAGAUCUUUCAGCAUGGGCUUAGGUUCUUCUGAAGGCUCCUCAUCACCCUCCCUUCAUAGCAUUGCCCCCAGUGACUGUGUGGUGCUGAUUCUCUUCCAUGGACAUUGGAGGGUAAAACCAGUGGCCAAUAGCUGCCCAGUCCCCCCACCAUGCUCAAGGGGAGUCCUCUUCUCUGCCCCCAGAGGAGCAGGGAAGGUGGAGCCUUAGCCAAAGACAUAAGAAGACGCUUACAAUUAAAUGAGAGGGCAUUUCAGUAUGUGGAUGAUAUUUUUGUUGCUAUUAAAAGUAUGGAAACUUUAGAUGAAACAGAAACAUAAAUUUAAAUUUCCUGGUGAGAAGAUGUAUAAGGUGUCUAAUAAAAUGUCCAAGUUUUCCCAAUAAACUGUGAAAUAUUU